rnacentral:rRNA from 1 species
UGAGGAAUAUUGGGCAAUGGGCGAGAGCCUGAACCAGCCAAGUCGCGUGAAGGAAGACAGUCCUAAGGAUUGUAAACUUCUUUUAUACGGGAAUAACGGGCGAUACGAGUAUUGCAUUGAAUGUACCGUAAGAAUAAGCAACGGCUAACUCCGUGCCAGCAGCCGCGGUAAUACGGAGGAUGCAAGCGUUAUCCGGAUUGAUUGGGUUUAAAGGGUGCGUAGGUUGUUCGGUAAGUCAGCGGUGAAACAUGAGCGCUCAACGUUAAGCCUGCCGUUGAAACUGCCGGGCUUGAGUUCAGUGGCGGCAGGCGGAAUUCGUGGUGUAGCGGUGAAAUGCAUAGAUAUCACGAAGAACUCCGAUUGCGAAGGCAGCUUGCCAUACUGCGACUGACACUGAAGCACGAAGGCGUGGGUAUCAAACGGG